CACUAGCCCAGAUAUCAGUGAAAAUCCUUUUCUUAUCUCUUUUUUGGAGAUAAGAAAAGAUUGUAACGAAUAGCUGGAUUAAGC
rnacentral:sRNA from 1 species